AGAUUGAACGCUGGCGGCAGGCCUAACACAUGCAAGUCGAGCGGUAGAGAGGUGCUUGCAUCUCUUGAGAGCGGCGGACGGGUGAGUAAUGCCUAGGAAUCUGCCUAGUGGUGGGGGGAUAACGUUCGGAAACGGACGCUAAUACCGCAUACGUCCUACGGGAGAAAGCGGGGGACCUUCGGGCCUCGCGCCAUUAGAUGAGCCUAGGUCGGAUUAGCUAGUUGGUGAGGUAAUGGCUCACCGAGGCGACGAUCCGUAACUGGUCUGAGAGGAUGAUCAGUCACACUGGAACUGAGACACGGUCCAGGCUCCUACGGGAGGCAGCAGUGGGGAAUAUUGGACAAUGGGCGAGAGCCUGAUCCAGCCAUGCCGCGUGUGUGAAGAAGGUCUUCGGAUUGAAAGCAACUUUAAGUUGGGAAGGAAGGGUUGUAAACUUAAGUACGUUGACAACUUUUAGACGUUACCGACAAGAAUAAGCACCGGCUAACUUCGUGCCAGCAGACCG
rnacentral:rRNA from 1 species